CCUACGGGAGGCAGCAGUGGGGGAUAUUGCACAAUGGGGGGAACCCUGAUGCAGCGACGCCGCGUGGGUGAAGGAGUAUUUCGGUAUGUAAAGCCCUAUCGGCAGGGAAGAAAUUGGACGGUACCUGACGAAGAAGCCCCGGCUAACUACGUGCCAGCAGCCGCGGUAAUACGUAGGGGGCAAGCGUUAUCCGGAUUCACUGGGGGUAAAGGGAGCGUAGACGGCCAUGCAAGCCAGGGGUGAAAGCCCGGGGCCCAACCCCGGGACUGCCCUUGGAACUGCAUGGCUGGAGUGCGGGAGGGGCAGGCGGAAUUCCUGGUGUAGCGGUGAAAUGCGUAGAUAUCAGGAGGAACACCGGCGGCGAAGGCGGCCUGCUGGACCGCGACUGACGUUGAGGCUCGAAAGCGUGGGGAGCGAACAGGAUGAGAUACCCGAGUAGUC
rnacentral:rRNA from 1 species